AGACUUUUUUCAAAGGCAUUUAAACAACUAUGUGACUUUCUAUUUUUUUCAACAGCAAUGGCUUCAAGGAAAAGAAUGGAACUUGGAACGCUCCAGAGAUAAUAUUGAAUAGCAGCUUUGAAGUCACAUUCACUGAUACUACCCAUACUUGAAAUUUCAAGAAUCGUCAUCGAAAAUACAAAGAGCUGGAUCCCAUCCAGGAUACCACAUUGCAUUUAGUUGUCACAUCUCCAUAGGCUCCUCUGAUCUAUGAAAGUGACUUAGUCUUUCAUGACCUUGACAGUUUUGAAGAAUACUGGUUGGUAUUUUGUGGAACGUCCUUCAAUUUGAACUGUUGUGAUGUUUUCUCAUUCGACUGAAGUUAUGGGUUUUGGAAAAGAAUACGACACAAAUGAACUGCCCUUCUCAUCACAUCAUA